rnacentral:lncRNA from 1 species
AAAAAUCAAAUAGAGUUUAGAAAUUUGUUAUAAAUAGCAAUGUAAGGAGCCUAAAGAAGGUAUCGAAAAAUAGCUUAGAAAUCUUUCCUUUUACUAUUUAUACAAUCUUCCUUGUAAAAAUCUUUCCUUUACUUUUAAUAAAAUAUCGAUCUUCCGCACUUUAUAUAGUUUGUAAUUGGUAUCAGAGGCCACCGGAGUUACGAUUCUUGGAGGAAUUCAUACCAUAAUAUCCAUUGUAAGUUCUUAUCUUUAAUUUACAAUCCAGUUAAUUCUGUGGUUAUUUAUCUUAAAACCCAUAUAUCUGUUAUUUUGUCUAACUUUUGCCUUUUUAAAGUCUAAGUGAGAGACGUUAGGCCUUUGUGUGUUAAGACAAAAUAAUAUAACAGACGGUUUUAGGUACCAAAGAUAAAUAACAUGGAAGAAACAGAUUGGUUAUAUAAAGAUAAAACCUGCAAUCAUAUUAUGCAUAUAGAUUUUAAAUAAUCCCAUAUGUAUAUAUUUAUAUAAAAUCUAAAAAAUGGGAAUUAAUAAUUAAAUCCUAUAUUAACGUCUGUUAUAUUAUUUUAUCAAUUCCAAUAGCUCUAAUUGGGUUUUUCAUUAAUUUCCAUUUUUCUACAGGAAUGACAUUUUCUCUACAACUACUUGUGGUAGCUCCAGUAUCUAAUAAAGCAUGCAAAGAAUAUGUUUUAUAUUCUCUAAAUUGAAGUGUAAUUUCUAUAUAUGUAUAAUAUUUCCUAUGUUGGAAAUUUGAAAAUGUAAUAAUAUCAUUUUUUCCAUUUUCAUUUGUUGAAUAAUUGUAGUAGAUUGUAUUUCUUCCAUUCUAGUAUUUCUAGAAUUUCUACUAGGUUCAAUGGAAAAAAUAGGUAUUUGAACUGUUUUCAUACCUAUUGGUGUUGUUGAAUUUGUGCUAAUAUUAUCUUCCUCUUCCUCUAUUUGAGAAUUAGAGGGUAAGACUAAAUUAUCAUUUGUAUUUGUUAUAGCAUUAUUUUUAAAAUAUAGUCUAUCUCUAGAUGACAUA